rnacentral:rRNA from 1 species
CCUACGGGUGGCAGCAGUGAGGAAUAUUGGUCAAUGGACGAGAGUCUGAACCAGCCAAGUAGCGUGAAGGAUGACUGCCCUAUGGGUUGUAAACUUCUUUUAUAUGGGAAUAAAACGUUCCACGUGUGGGAUUUUGUAUGUACCAUAUGAAUAAGCAUCGGCUAACUCCGUGCCAGCAGGCGCGGUAAUACGGAGGAUGCGAGGGUUAUCCGGAUUUGUUGGGUUUAAAGGGUUGGUAGGCGGAAGGUUAAGUCAGCGGUCAAAUGUCGGUGCUCAACACCGGCCUGCCGGUGAAACUGGUCUUCUUGAGUGAGAGAGAAGUAGGCGGAAUGCGUGGUGUAGCGGUGAAAUGCAUAGAUAUCACGCAGAACUCCGAUUGCGAAGGCAGCAGACCGGAGCUCAACUGACGCUGAGGCACGAAAGCGUGGGGAUCGAACAGGAUUAGAUACCCUGGUAGUC